rnacentral:rRNA from 1 species
UGGCUCAGGAUGAACGCUGGCGGCGUGCUUAACACAUGCAAGUCGGACGGGCCAAGUUUACUUGGUCAGUGGCGGACGGGUGCGUAACACGUAGGUGACCUGCCCUGAAGUGGGGAAUAAUUCCGCGAAAGCGGGACUAAUACCGCAUGUGCUGGUGGCUUCGGUGCCACGAGUAAAGCAGCGAUGCGCUUUGGGAUGGGCCUGCGGCGGAUUAGCUAGUUGGUGGGGUAACGGCCUACCAAGGCGAUGAUCCGUAGGGGGCGUGAGAGCGUGACCCCCCACAUUGGCACUGAGACACGGGCCAAACUCCUACGGGAGGCAGCAGUAGGGAAUAUUGCACAAUGGGCGCAAGCCUGAUGCAGCAACGCCGCGUGCGCGAUGAAGGCUUCGGGUCGUAAAGCGUUUUGGGGAGAGAGGAAGGACAGUAUCCCCAGAAUAAGGUCGGGCUAAUACC